UACGUAGGGCGCAAGCGUUGUCCGGAAUUAUUGGGCGUAAAGAGCUCGUAGGCGGCUUGUCACGUCGGUUGUGAAAGCCCGGGGCUUAACCCCGGGUCUGCAGUCGAUACGGGCAGGCUAGAAUUCGGUAGGGGAGACUGGAAUUCCUGGUGUAGCGGUGAAAUGCGCAGAUAUCAGGAGGAACACCGGUGGCGAAGGCGGGUCUCUGGGCCGAUAUUGACGCUGGAGGAGCGAAAGCGUGGGGAGCGAACAGG
rnacentral:rRNA from 1 species